GAUGAACGCUGGCGGCGUGCCUAAUACAUGCAAGUCGAGCGAACGGACGAGAAGCUUGCUUCUCUGAUGUUAGCGGCGGACGGGUGAGUAACACGUGGAUAACCUACCUAUAAGACUGGGAUAACUUCGGGAAACCGGAGCUAAUACCGGAUGAUAUUUUGAACCGCAUGGUUCAAAAGUGAAAGACGGUCUUGCUGUCACUUAUAGCUGGAUCCGCGCUGCAUUAGCUAGUUGGUAAGGUAACGGCUUACCAAGGCAACGAUGCAUAGCCGACCUGAGAGGGUGAUCGGCCACACUGGAACUGAGACACGGUCCAGACUCCUGCGGGAGGCAGCAGUAGGGAAUCUUCCGCAAUGGGCGAAAGCCUGACGGAGCAACGCCGCGUGAGUGAUGAAGGUCUUCGGAUCGUAAAACUCUGUUAUUAGGGAAGAACAUAUGUGUAAGUAACUGUGCACAUCUUGACGGUACCUAAUCAGAAAGCCACGGCUAACUACGUG
rnacentral:rRNA from 1 species